UUCAAUGAUGAAAACCUGGAGUAGGAAGUGCAGUCAGAUGCGAAAACUGACUAUUGUUUCAAAUCCAAUUUUCUGAGU